rnacentral:lncRNA from 1 species
GAAAGUAAAGAACAAAUAUAAACAAGUAAACAUGCAAAAAAUCACAUAAUGACACAAAGUCAACAAAACAAUCCCUUCCCUUGGAUUUAGACAAAAUUAAAUUAAAAUGAUAAAGAAAAGUAUUUUUUUGUAUUUUGUUAUUUCUGAUAAAAGAAAACAAAGAAAUAUGUUUUUUUUGAGAUUUUUAGAUAUUUUUAAUAAUAUAUAUAAGAAUAAGAAAGGAAAUAAAAUAAAGGGGUUUUUAAACAAAAAGGCAGAGGAGGGUGCAAGAAUGGGUUCUGGAGGUGAAACAAUAGCAAUCUGCAACACCAGGCCCAGCCCAAGAUCCAAUUCGUCCAAACAAAAAAUAAGCAGAAAAAUAAUCCAGUGUGACAUGAGAACAGAGGUGCACAGUAGACGUCACGGAUCUGAGCCUUUUGAUUAAAUCAUGUGGCUGUGAUUUAAAAAUCACAUAACAGAUCUCAGCCCUUGGAUCUUUAAAAUAAAAUCAAACAGUUUAAGGAUCCAGUGUGGCAUGAGAACAGAGGCACACGUGGACGUCAUGGAUCUGAGCCUUUUGAUUAAAUCAUGUGGCUAUGAUUUAAAAAUCACAUAACAGAUCUCAGCCCUUGGAUCUUAAAAAUAAAAUCAAACGGUUUAAGGUUCCAGUGUGGCAUGAGAACAGAGGCGCACGUGGACGUCAUAGAUCUGAGCCCUUUGAUUAAAUCAUGCGGCCAGGAUUUAAAAAUCCUAUAACAGAUCUCGGUCCCUGGAUUAAUCGAACGGACGCGUUUUAAACUAAAAGGAAACACUAACGGGAUGACACGUGGUCAUCCCUAACCUCAAGCUUCUUCUUCCUUGCGCUGAAGAACAGCAAGGGCGGCCAUGGAAGAGCUUUGGAAGCUCACGGCCCAACAACAACUUCAUCAAAACAUCAUCAAAAAUUAUAAAUGAGUAUAUUAUUUUGUUCGAAAUUUCACAUAGAUCAUGAAUAUAAACUUAGAUUUUUCAAUAGAUGUUUAUAUCUCAGAAAAAAGUUCGAAACUUUAAAAACCCAAAAAACUUUAAAAUUCACAUUUGUACGAAUUAAACAAAAUCAAGAGUUGGAAAAGCUUCAGUGGGUGUUCAUGAGUAAAAAACGUUUAGAACUUACUUGUUUUGAGCCUUGCUUAGAUGGGUUAACACCUACUCUUUUCUUUGCUAUUUUGAACCUUGGGUAAGCUUCUCUCAACGGUUUUCCUUCGUUUUUUCUUGUGUGUUUCGCUACUGGUAUGUGUUAGAAGGGAUUGGUGAAAGAAAAUUGAAGUUUGAGGGUGGUUUGAAUGAAUUUCGAAAAAUGGAAGAAAGUGAUGAAAAUGUGAGAUUUUUUUAUCGUUUAUUUUCUUCCUCUGAUCUUCCCCCUGUUUCAAUUCUGCUGGAUCAAUUUAUAGGCAAAUUUAGGGUUUCUUUAUCCAUUGGAUUGAAGUGU